rnacentral:ncRNA from 1 species
GUUAUCACGAAAGGCGGAGGGACAGACCCAAUGAAACCUUAGCAACCCUUUACCAUAAAGAAGGUGCUAAAUUCUACUUUUUACUAAUUUUCAA